GAGUUUGAUCCUGGCUCAGGAUGAACGCUAGCGGCAGGCUUAAUACAUGCAAGUCAAGGGGGUAGCAAUACAACCGGCGCACGGGUGAGUAACGCGUACACAACAUACCAUAUACUGGGGUAUAGCUUUGGGAAACUGAAGGUAAUCCCCCAUAACAUUGCGAGAGGGCAUCUGAUUGCAAUUAAAGUUUCGGCGGUAUAUGAUUGGUGUGCGUUUGAUUAGCUAGUUGGUAGGGUAACGGCCUACCAAGGCGACGAUCAAUAGCUGGCGUGAGAGCGCGACCAGCCACACUGGAACUGAGACACGGUCCAGACUCCUACGGGAGGCAGCAGUAGGGAAUAUUGGACAAUGGAGGAAACUCUGAUCCAGACAUGCCGCGUGAUAGAUGAAGGCCCUCUGGGUUGUAAACAUCUUUUAUCUGGGAAGAAACAAUCUUAUUCUUAAGAUCUUGACGGUACCAGAGGAAUAAGCACCGGCUAACUCCGUGCCAGCAGCCGCGGUAAUACGGAGG
rnacentral:rRNA from 1 species